ensembl:lncRNA
AUGCAGCCUGGCAGGAUCAACACUCUCUGGGAAUCAGAUGCUAUUUUCCUGGCCUCUCUCAGGAAAGAACAUGCUGACCGGGGAGGAGGGGGCAGGAGAAGAGAAGGGAGAAGAGCUGGAAGGAAAGAGGAGGUGUUGGAGAAAAGACUAGUGUCUUGUGUUAACCUGGAGGAAAGACAGCGUGGGCACCCCAGUGUCUGUGCAAAAGUUGCACAUCAGUUGCACAUCUGAGAGUGAAACAAAGGCUUCCUUUGUUCCCGAACAGUUUGCUCCCUGUGAAGUUUGUUCUCUUCACCUUGCAAUCUGAAGUCUGUUGACUUUUGGUGCGGUCUGUUGGUUCAAGCUUUACCAAAGGAGUUAAUAACUACUGCAUUGUUGUGGUGGAAGCUACCUUUAAUUUUUCAAGAGAACUGCAGAAUUGUUUUCUCUUCUGUUAUUAAUAUUAUUGGAAUAAUCAUCAUCAUCAACCAUUAAAACCUUUAUUAUUCUCUGCCUUUAUAGAGUUGCUCUUCUUAGAAAGUCCUCCUUUAUUUUUCAACAAAGUCUUAUUUUGAGAGGAGGUGCUUUCUCUAAUAUCUAAUGUCUAGCUGGAGUGUGGGCACCUCUUACACCAGCAGCAAGCAGUCACCUACCACAGGAACUGACCGGGAGGCAGCAGCAUGUGCUAGUUAAACCUCAGACUCUGGAUCCAGCUUGAACUCCUGAUCUGCUGCUCCCACUCACAUGACUUUAGGCAAGUUAUUCACCUCCUCAGAAUCACAACUUUCUCAUCAGUGAAAUAGGAUAGGAAUAGUAUCUACCUUUCUGUGUUAUUGUGAGAAUUAAAAGUGUAAUUAUAUAUAAUGCUUACAAGAGGACAUGAUACAUAAGAAGCACCAGAUAAGUGCUUGCUGCUGCUUCUGUCAUCAUUAUUAUUAUCUUCUAAGAAGCUAUAGGCUGAUUUAAAGCAAAUUAUUAUAAUUAUUUCUGUCAUUAUUAUUAAUAAACCCUCCUAAAGAAACUAAGGUUGAUUUAAAGGAAAAUGCUCAAGAGGAUAGAAUCAUUUUUGGGGCUCUCCUACUUCUGUUCUUAGUUUCUCUCUUUUUCUUUUAGUUUUUCCAAAUUUUUGACAGUGUACUCAAGGUUAUAGUGAUGUGCCUGGGCACAGUGGCUCAUGCCUGUAAUCCUAGCAUUUUGGGAGCCUGAAGUGGGAGGAUGGCUUGAGCCCAGGAGUUUGAGACCAGCCUGGACAAUACAGUGAGACUCCAUCUCUCUUAAAAAAAAAAUUAGCAAUGUGCCCUAUGAGUGUCACUACUUAAGUCACACAUACAUACAGGGUUCAAUGUAUACUUUUAAAGGACACUGGAAGCUUGAAUUUUUUUUUUCUGGAGAAAAAUAAGAAAUAGAUCCUAUAGGCUUCUAGAACUUUGAAACUGAGUUUCAGGGAACAUCUAGUUCAAUUCCACAGUAGGCAAAUGAUUCAUUCUUAGAGACAGGCACGACUGGUUAGUGGCAGAGUGCGACUAGAGUCUUGGGUUAAGUUAGACAAGUAAGAGCUAUGAACAUGUGGCAGCUGGAGUGACUUCUUAUACACCUGUUUCCACCGAACUGCCCUAUGGCAAUAUGCCAGAAAAGGAUCAGACUGUCUGCAAACUGAUUAUUGUAUGUGCUGAAGAGGGGUGUUGCGAAGGUUGCCAUCCUGAUCCUCUUUAUGAACACCCUUGAGGAACAGUAUUGAAAAUAAUUAUUGCUUCGGGAACUACUGUUUUUUUUCUUUACAUUUUUUUUGUUAUUUAAAAAAAGUAUUAUUAAUAUUAUUUUGAUUACCAAAUCAUAGUUAUAUACAUAACCAGUUUGUUUUCAUUGGAUGAACACCAUGAACUUUUAAUCUAUUAAUGUAUCACAUCUUUGCAUUGGCUACUAGGAAGCUCAAGGUCAAUUUUACAUUCUAUGUUUAUGGUUAGAAGCUAAUAGCUACCGCAAAUUGCAGUUACAUAUUAGAGCUGAACAUCUUGCAGCCAGUUUUCCUAAACUUUGAUCUAUUAAAAAAGGGAGUUUGGGGGCCCUUUUCAUUGCAUGCUUUACCUUUUUCAUGGAUAUUCAUGGUGUACACAUUAGUGUCUUGAAGGUUCUGAGAAGUCUGACAGUUCUAAAUAAAUCAAAAGAGCUUUAAAAAUUUUGUUUAGCCUUGUAGUUGUAAAACUUUCUUGAUUACAUAAUCUUUAAAAACAUUAUCUCAGAAAUUCCUAGUUUUAUAUGAAAUACAUUUUGGAAAAUACUACCAUUCAGUAAUCUGUAAUCAAAUACUGUUUAUUAUUAUUAUUAUUAUUAUUUUUUGAGAUGGAGUUUUACUCUUGUUGCCCAGGCUGGAGUACAAUGGCAUGAUCUUGGCUCACUGCAACCUCCACCUCCCGGGUUCAAGUGAUUCUCCUGCCUCAGCCUCCUGAGUAGCUGGGAUUACAGGCGCCCACUAUCACGCCUGGCUAAUUUUUUGUUUUAGUAGAGAUGGGGCUUCACCAUGUUGGCCAAGCUGGUCUCGAACUCCUGACCUCAGGUGAUCCACCCUCCUCGGCCUCCCAAAGUGCUGGAACUACAGGCAUGAGCCACUGCGCCUGGCCAAAUCCUGUUUAUUAGAUUCAUGACAGUGCAAAGAUUGGUGAACUUGUUUCUUUUUACUUCUGUGCAGCCGGAGAAAGUCCAGUCUGUGUACACUGGACUAGAUAACUGACAAGGCCCUUGCUAGCUCUCAAAUUUUUGAUUCUCAAUUCAAAAAAUGAAGAAAAGUUUUCAAGAACGUCUGUUCCUAGAAUUAGAAAUACUAAAAUGAAUACUAAAGUUAGAAAUUAAAACAUUAUAUACCAUUUCUGG